ACGUUACCCGCAGAAGAAGCACCGGCUAACUCCGUGCCAGCAGCCGCGGUAAUACGGAGGGUGCAAGCGUUAAUCGGAAUUACUGGGCGUAAAGCGCACGCAGGCGGUCUGUCAAGUCGGAUGUGAAAUCCCCGGGCUCAACCUGGGAACUGCAUUCGAAACUGGCAGGCUUGAGUCUUGUAGAGGGGGGUAGAAUUCCAGGUGUAGCGGUGAAAUGCGUAGAGAUCUGGAGGAAUACCGGUGGCGAAGGCGGCCCCCUGGACAAAGA
rnacentral:rRNA from 4 species